AGUAAAUUUUGCAGGUCUUCUAAACUUGUUAAGAGAUGGUUUCUCAUUUACUU
rnacentral:tRNA from 1 species